GAAGGAACUAGGCAAAAUGGCACCGUAACUUCGGGAGAAGGUGCGCCGGCUAGGGUGAAGGAUUUACUCCGUAAGCUCUGGCUGGUCGAAGAUACCAGGCCGCUGCGACUGUUUAUUAAAAACACAGCACUCUGCAAACACGAAAGUGGACGUAUAGGGUGUGACGCCUGCCCGGUGCCGGAAGGUUAAUUGAUGGGGUUAGCGCAAGCGAAGCUCUUGAUCGAAGCCCCGGUAAACGGCGGCCGUAACAAUAACGGUCCUAAGGUAGCGAAAUUCCUUGUCGGGUAAGUUCCGACCUGCACGAAUGGCGUAACGAUGGCGGCGCUGUCUCCACCCGAGACUCAGUGAAAUUGAAAUCGCUGUGAAGAUGCAGUGUAUCCGCGGCUAGACGGAAAGACCCCGUGAACCUUUACUGUAGCUUUGCACUGGACUUUGAGCCUGCUUGUGUAGGAUAGGUGGAAGGCUUUGAAGCGUGGACGCCAGUUCGCGUGGAGCCAUCCUUGAAAUACCACCCUGGCAUGCUUGAGGUUCUAACUCUGGUCCGUAAUCCGGAUCGAGGACAGUGUAUGGUGGGCAGUUUGACUGGGGCGGUCUCCUCCUAAAGAGUAACGGAGGAGUACGAAGGUGCGCUCAGACCGGUCGGAAAUCGGUCGCAGAGUAUAAAGGCAAAAGCGCGCUUGACUGCGAGACAGACACGUCGAGCAGGUACGAAAGUAGGUCUUAGUGAUCCGGUGGUUCUGUAUGGAAGGGCCAUCGCUCAACGGAUAAAAGGUACUCCGGGGAUAACAGGCUGAUACCGCCCAAGAGUUCAUAUCGACGGCGGUGUUUGGCACCUCGAUGUCGGCUCAUCACAUCCUGGGGCUGAAGCCGGUCCCAAGGGUAUGGCUGUCCGCCAUUUAAAGUGGUACGCGAGCUGGGUUUAGAACGUCGUGAGACAGUUCGGUCCCUAUCUGCCGUGGACGUUUGAGAUUUGAGAGGGGCUGCUCCUAGUACGAGAGGACCGGAGUGGACGAACCUCUGGUGUUCCGGUUGUCACGCCAGUGGCAUUGCCGGGUAGCUAUGUUCGGAAAAGAUAACCGCUGAAAGCAUCUAAGCGGGAAACUUGCCUCAAGAUGAGAUCUCACUGGGAACAUGAUUCCCCUGAAGGGCCGUCGAAGACUACGACGUUGAUAGGCUGGGUGUGUAAGCGUUGUGAGGCGUUGAGCUAACCAGUACUAAUUGCCCGUGAGGCUUGACCAU
rnacentral:rRNA from 1 species